ACUUCAUUAUCAAACCCUAGAUCAAAAUACAAUAGCCGACACCCCCACUCCUCUUCUCUGCGUUUGUUUUUCUUUGAGAACCCUAACCCACACCAACCGAUCUGAAUUUCCAGCUAUCUCCACCCUCUGACUCAUCCCUUCUCUGAGCAAAUGAAUGACCAGCCACCAUGACGGUGGUGGCGCACGGCGGCGCUCAGCGUCGACGCAGAAAGACAGAGGGGAAUGAGAGAGUUAGAGAGAGUGUGUGAGAGAGAGAGAGAGGAGGAGGAGGCUGACGUCGCUCCGGUGACCAGAAACGCCGCUACGGCGGCGGUGAAGAUGAUGAUGAUGACGUGAGGAUUAUGUUGUUGCCGCUGAUGUGAUAUGAUGACGAUGUGAUGAUGUUGUGGUUUUUCAGGCAAUGGCAUGCCGGCAACGACAUAUUUUUUCCGUUUACUGAUGACGGUGUUGGCUGUCGAGGAUGGCGAUGGUGGCGGUGGCGUACCGACGACGGCAGUGAACGACGGUGGUGACGGAUUCGUGUUAGGGUUUUAGCGGGCCAGAUUAGUUUGGUCAGUUCAAACUCGGGUUCGGAUGUUUAGAUCCAGUGGUUCGAUUUAGUCACGGCUCUCAGGUUAUUCACGGUCAAAAUGUUCGGGGUCAGACUCGGUUCAAGCAUAAUUUGAGUUCUGGUCAACUUCUAGUCAACAGUUGGGGGUGGUGGUGUUACUUCUUGAUUCGGGUUUCGGUUUUGGUCAACCACAGUCCACAUCAGCUCCGGUUCAGUUCCGAAAUGUUUGGUGCAAAAUAGUCACAGUGAACGGUUCGGGUCAAGGGUUGGUUCAACUCGGUUUGACUCGGUCAAACCGAGUCAACGCAGUCAACAGACGAUCAACAGAAGUCAACGAAAGACGCGGUAAAGUUGUUAGCGUAGCGAGUUAGUCUACGUUAGAUUUUAUUUAGUAUACGCGAACCGAGCUCGACCCGACUAACUAACGGUUUUACAUUUAGUGAUUUUGUUUCGUAUUCGACGUUUUGAUAUAUUUAACGUAAAAUUUAUAUAAUGUUUGUUGAGUGAA